rnacentral:rRNA from 1 species
UGACCCCAUGCCGAACUCAGAAGUGAAACGCCGUAGCGCCGAUGGUAGUGUGGGGUCUCCCCAUGCGAGAGUAGGGAACUGCCAGACA